rnacentral:misc_RNA from 1 species
UCUCCGUAGGUGAACCUGCGGAGGGAUCAUGAAAGAGUCCUUGCUCUUACGGGUAGAGCUCCACCCUAUGUUAUCGCUACCUUUGCUGUUUUGGCGGGCGGCCAGGCUUCGGACAGACUACCGGCGCCGGCUGGUAAGUGCCCGCCAGUGGAUAUCCAACCUUGAAUGUAAUGUCGUCUGAGUACUAUAUAAUAGUUAAAACUUUCAACAACGGAUCUCUUGGUUCUG